CUCCUGAAGGAACGUUAAAGACGAUGACGUUGAUAGGCCGGGUGUGUAAGCGCAGCGAUGCGUUGAGCUAACCGGUACUAAUGAACCGUGAGGCUUAACCUUACAACGCCGAAGAUGUUUUG
rnacentral:rRNA from 1 species